rnacentral:rRNA from 1 species
GACGAACGCUGGCGGCGUGCUUAACACAUGCAAGUCGAACGGAAAGGCCCUGCUUUUGUGGGGUGCUCGAGUGGCGAACGGGUGAGUAACACAUGAGUAACCUGCCCUUGACUUUGGGAUAACUUCAGGAAACUGGGGCUAAUACCGGAUAGGAGCUCCUGCUGCAUGGUGGGGGUUGGAAAGUUUCGGCGGUUGGGGAUGGACUCGCGGCUUAUCAGCUUGUUGGUGGGGUAGUGGCUUACCAAGGCUUUGACGGGUAGCCGGCCUGAGAGGGUGACCGGCCACAUUGGGACUGAGAUUCGGCCCAGACUCCUACGGGAGGCAGCAGUGGGGAAUAUUGCACAAUGGGCGGAAGCCUGAUGCAGCAACGCCGCGUGCGGGAUGACGGCCUUCGGGUUGUAAACCGCUUUCGCCUGUGACGAAGCGUGAGUGACGGUAAUGGGUAAAGAAGCACCGGCUAACUACGUG